CAGCAGCCGCGGUAAUACAGAGGGUGCGAGCGUUAAUCGGAUUUACUGGGCGUAAAGCGCGCGUAGGUGGUUUGUUAAGUUGGAUGUGAAAGCCCCGGGCUCAACCUGGGAACUGCAUCCAAAACUGGCAAGCUAGAGUACGGUAGAGGGUGGUGGAAUUUCCUGUGUAGCGGUGAAAUGCGUAGAUAUAGGAAGGAACACCAGUGGCGAAGGCGACCACCUGGACUGAUACUGACACUGAGGUGCGAAAGCGUGGGGAGCAAACAGGAUUAGAUACCCCUGUAGUCCCUGUCUCUUAUAA
rnacentral:rRNA from 1 species